rnacentral:rRNA from 1 species
GAUGAACGCUGGCGGCGUGCCUAAUACAUGCAAGUCGAGCGAACGGACGAGAAGCUUGCUUCUCUGAUGUUAGCGGCGGACGGGUGAGUAACACGUGGAUAACCUACCUAUAAGACUGGGAUAACUUCGGGAAACCGGAGCUAAUACCGGAUAAUAUUUUGAACCGCAUGGUUCAAAAGUGAAAGACGGUCUUGCUGUCACUUAUAGAUGGAUCCGCGCUGCAUUAGCUAGUUGGUAAGGUAACGGCUUACCAAGGCAACGAUGCAUAGCCGACCUGAGAGGGUGAUCGGCCACACUGGAACUGAGACACGGUCCAGACUCCUACGGGAGGCAGCAGUAGGGAAUCUUCCGCAAUGGGCGAAAGCCUGACGGAGCAACGCCGCGUGAGUGAUGAAGGUCUUCGGAUCGUAAAACUCUGUUAUUAGGGAAGAACAAAUGUGUAAGUAACUGUGCAUAUCUUGACGGUACCUAAUCAGAAAGCCACGGCUAACUACGUG